rnacentral:lncRNA from 1 species
ACGGGCUCAGAGCACUGCCCACGUCAUGCCAAAAUAUAACGGCCCAUCUGAUGACAGAGCGGGCCUUGGACCGGCGGCACAAAAGGUCCCAUUGAGCCCGCGAAGAAUGGAUCGACUGUGCGGCCCCGGGAGCACGGGACUGUGCUGUCAGGUAUAGGAGGCCGGGAGGACGAUAAAACCCACUGUCUGUCCAUGCAAAUUAGACGGAGAAGUGCCGAUAUAUAGCCACCGCCGCGCAAGAACAGACCUUAUUGUUCAGAGCAGCACCUGCAAAAAACCCAAAACACAGCCCGCUGUCCGAGAUGAGACUCAACAUCGCUCUAGUCCUGGUCCUAGCUGUUGCCGGACUUAAAACGGCAACCGCACUGUCCUUGGCAUCAGAGGAAAUAAGUGAAGAAAUCAGUAAAAAGGAAGAAGAUGUGAAUGACCUGCAGAAGAGAGAGGAUCAGGCCUUGGAGGAUGCCCAAAACUUAGAGGUUCAGGCCAUGGAGGAUGCCCAAAACUCAGAAGAUGACAAUGCUGCAAAGGAAGUGGAAGAUGAGGAGGAGUUAGAGGAGAACGUAGGAUUAAAAACUGAAGCAGAGGAAGAAGAUACAGAGAGCCAGGAGGGAGCUGAGAGAGGUAGGCCACACAGUUCCUGUCUGCAAAGCAGAGCCGGGAAGAUAAGUGGUUGACGUGAUGCACACUCCGAAGAUCUGAACACCCUGACAUUAGAAACUUGGCCAAGUGUCAGAAUUUCACAUGGGAAGUGAAAAUAAAAAAAACUAAAUGGAUGUUUUAUUAAACAUAAAAUAUUACAGUAAGCUUUGCACAUUUGUUUAAAAUGAAGUUGGCUGGUAUUUGAAAUUAAUUAUAGUGGUAUACAAAGGUUCUGUGUGGAAACGGCUAUUAUAAAUACAUGUUAUAAAAAUGUGUGAAUGCUUCCGAUUCAACAUACAACAGGAUGAGGCCAGCUCAGGCACUUGUGUUCUGCACAUAAGAGGUUAAGCUGAAUAAACAUUCUGCCAUUGGAAUUUGGAAGAUACAGCUCAAUGUUUGUUCAGUAUAAAGAGCAAAAGACCUGACUUUGCAGGGCUAACAUGUUACCUUGAAAAGAGUCACAUUUGUACCCCACCAGCUCUCUCUCGUAAAAAAAUCAAUACUCACACGUAGCUCUCCUGCUAUCUUUACAGAGCAUACAGAGGAAGAGGAGGUGGAAAAUCUAGGUGAGUUUGAGGUGUAAACCCACCUGGGCUCAAAGGAAAAUGGUCAUGCUCUGUGUUUAUUUAUGUGACCAUGAGGAACGCAUGGCGUACCCUGGCCAGGGCAAGGAUAAGGUCUGGGGGAGAGGCUGGAGGAG